GUCAGUUGUGGACACGUGGGCCGCAUGGCUGAUUCUCCGGCAGACGACACAAGCACAGGAAGACUGUCACGAAGGGCUCUGACGACACGCUGUGCCUUGGUCGUAUUCGUGGUUAUAGGUAGCCUGUUGUUCCUUGGAGGAAUGUUCUUCAAGUUCGUCUCUAGCUCCACAGAUGACGGAAACUUCAGCAUGCAGAGGCACAGCAACACUCGUGUCUGAUAGUAUUUCUUGAUAGACAUCUCACCCUCUGGUGAUUAAAACAGAUGACCAGCAAGACCGCAGAGCGUCUGUGUUGGCGAGAGUGGUGUAGCUUCGGCUGCCAGACGGAUACGAUGCCAGGAAUUGUCAGCGCUACGCGGACAACGACUGCCGCCAUCUGCUGCCCAUAUUCAUCUAUCCGCAGCAGUUUCCCUGCAAUGAGUGCAUGGGCUUCCAACACCAGAGCCAGCCUGCAUUCAGUGUGACGUUCCUAAACUUAAUACAG